GAUGAACGCUGGCGGCGUGCCUAAUACAUGCAAGUCGAGCGAAUGAUGAGGAGCUUGCUCCUCUGAUUUAGCGGCGGACGGGUGAGUAACACGUGAGUAAUCUGCCUGUAAGACGGGGAUAACUCCGGGAAACCGGGGCUAAUACCGGAUAACAAGAGGAAAUGAAUAUUUCCUUUUUGAAAGUCGGUUUACGCUGACACUUACAGAUGAGCACGGGGCGCAUUAGCGAGUUGGUGAGGUAAUGGCUCGCCAAGGCGACGAUGCGUAGCCGACCUGAGAGGGUGAUCGGCCACACUGGGACUGAGACACGGCCCAGACUCCUACGGGAGGCAGCAGUAGGGAAUCUUCGGCAAUGGGCGAAAGUCUGACGGAGCAACGCCGCGUGAGUGAAGAAGGUUUUCGGAUUGUAAAGCUCUGUCUUCAGGGGCGAACGUAUGGUAGGUAAAUAAUCUACUGUAAUGACGGUACCUGAGGAGGAAGCCACGGCUAACUACGUGCCAGCAGCCGCCGUAACAC
rnacentral:rRNA from 1 species